CUACAGCUUCCUGCCCUCUGGGAGAAGAUACCAGACCUCAGUGCUCACACCACCAGACUCUCCAACAGCUUCGUCCACCAGACUUGUUGUGUGUGUGUGUGUGUGUGUGUGUGUGUGUAUGUGCGUGUGUCUGUGUGUGUGUACCCAGUAGAAGCGACAGUCCUUUCACAUCUCCAGUUCUUGAACUGGAGCAGAGCAACUGGGUGGCAUUUUACACACACCAGUGGCUUGUUGGCCUUCACUCACUCCCCAAGGCUUCAUCCCAAAUACUGAAAAUACAUCUCAGCCUAAAACGUACGGCAACGAUCAGGAGGCAGCGAUGCCCCGUCCUCUGCUUACUGUCUGCUCGGCACUUCCUGUCAGAUUCUCCGGCCUCCAGUAAACCUGGAGCACACCGAACUGGCCCGUCAUUGGCUGCCACGAACUGCCACAGUCUGACCUCACUGCUAAUAAUAACAGCGAAGCCAUCAACCCUCUCAACUCUGCUGACUGUUGCUGAAGGACAAGUGUUAAGUGAUAUGACGGUGACACCGAAGCAACAAGGAACAAUAAUGGAUAUGAUCUGGAUUGAACGAAACAACAACCGUCCUUCCAGACAAGAGAGCAGACGUGUGCGUCUCAGUUCAAGCGUCAGUUGAACCCUCAAAGCACCUAUUCCUUUUCCUGAAUGUAUCCAAGAUUUAUAUAUGAGUGAUUGUGUUCAAUAACAUUCUGUAACAGUUUAGCUCCACGCCUUCCUUUUUGUAAUAGUUGUUUUCAUCCUGUCACACCAUCUCGUCAAUCCAACUCCCCUCACCUGCCUCUGAUCACUCCCUCGUUAGUCCCUCAUUCCCUUCACCUGGUCCUCACGCCCUUCUCACCUGCAGCCAAUCCCCUCAUUAGUCCCUCACUAUUUAGCUCCCUCACUUCCACUUGUCCUCUGCCAGAUUGUCUUGUGUUUUCAUGCCAAGUUCUCCAGUGUUAUUAGAGCGACAUUGUUUGCACCGUUAGCUGCGAGCUAUAUGAUGGGAGCUGUGUGGAGGCAAUCUCCCUGAAUAUGUGCACAUUUAAGGUUGAUCGUUGCAUUUGAAAAGUAUAAUCUAUCGUGAUCUCUAUAGCAGACAUACGCAAAGACAUGGAACCACAUUUUCAUUAACGUUAUAGAGCUACCCAUUGAGAAUAAGUUUGACUAACUAAAAGUCUUUUUUAUCAGACCACAAUCAUAGAUAUCGCUGAUACAUUUGAUUACUGUUCUGUUCUGAGCUCAUAUUUUACACCUUCAGAAUUCCAAUAAAAUAUAUAUUGCAACGGAAAGUCAAACAUAUAACAUAUCAUACAUCUUGAAUGCAUUUAUUAACAUCACAUAUUUCUUCAUUUUCAAAUUGCCCUGGUUAUCAAGAAAAGAAAAUGCGCAACACCCAUAUGUAAUUUUGUAGUUUAAAUCAAAAUAAAGGACUACAAAGUUCAAAGUAGUUUCUGUGCAUAAAUGUGUGAAUUGAAGACGCAACUGCAUUUCCACGCGUUUGUUAAAUUAGCCAGAUGUGUCCCCCGACCAGCCCUGGACAUGAUGGAUAAUCACAUCAUUAGUGGUGAUGGGAUUUGUACGAUUAUAAUCUAAUCAUCCGAGAUGAAUAUUAACGGCAGGUGAAGUCAUGGCACAUUGUCUGUCUCAGGCGCUGCUGGAGGAGGACAGUCGGAGAAGUCCGUAUAAUCACAGGGUGGGAAAGUCUGUCCACCCUUAAUCUCCCUGACAACUGCUAUUUUAGCACCCUCUGCUUCUCUGAGCGUCACACUCCCAGAGAGCGACCGGCUGUCAACACUCCCACCAGUGACAGCUUUGUAAUAUGUGUAAGGACUCUUAAAAGUAAUCUCUCUCCCCCGACGCCUUUAAGAGCCAACAAAUAGCACGACCACCGUCAGAGGCUGGAGAUAAUUCCCCUAUCAGACGGCCCUGACCACAGCCCUCCUGCUCGCUGCUGCAACUAAGACGAUAAGGCUAAUCACACACACGCACACACACACACACACACACACACACACACACACACACACACACACAGAAACACACACACUAGCUGCAAGGAGUCAUUAAAUCAAGUAUCUUUUUUAACAUUACGUUUUUUUUACAUUUGCAAAGAACAGUGGCACUUUAGUAUAUAUAUAUAUAUAUAUAUAGUAUCAUGUUUUUUUCAUUUUAUUAUAUUAUUUCAUUUUUAAUGUGUACUUUUGGUGUUAUUUUAGACAUUUACAGCAUAAUGUUCACACACAAAAAUUCCUGAAAAUGUCAUGUCAAUAAUGACCUUUAGUUGACAUCUUGUUGUCAAAAGAUGAAACAUGUGAAAGACUAUAAUUACUAUUCAAAUAGACAUUUUACUGCAUUUGCAAAUAUCUUUGAUGGGAGGAAAGGAAUGCUGAACACGUUUUUCCAAUCAGAGUAAACUGGACCUACAACGAGCAUUUUCUGUGCUUUCCCCCAUUAACCAAUGUUAAUUCAAUCCCAAGACCCUUUCACCAUUAAUAGAAAAAAGCCAACUCACAUCAGCUCUCAAGGACGUUGCAGAUGUUUCUUCAUUAUAAGGAAAUAAUAAUUUCGAUCUUUAUUCCCAUUAAACUGAAUUGACCUGCUGCAGUC